rnacentral:miRNA from 1 species
UUCAUCAGGCCUCAGUCAUCCAC